rnacentral:rRNA from 1 species
GACGAACCGUCCAAGCGUUAUUCGGAAUCACUGGGCUUACAGAGUUCGUAGGCGGUCUGGAAAGUUGGGUGUGAAAUCCCUCGGCCUAACCGAGGAACUGCGCUUGAAACUACCAGACUCGAGGGAGAUAGAGGAAAGCGGAACUGAUGGUGGAGCGGUGAAAUGCGUUGAUAUCAUCAGGAACACCGGUGGCGAAGGCGGCUUUCUGGGUCGUUACCUGACGCUGAG